rnacentral:tRNA from 1 species
GCACCAGUGGUCUAGUGGUAGAACAAUACCCUGCCAUGGUAUAGACCUAGGUUUGAUUCCUGACUGGUGUA